rnacentral:misc_RNA from 1 species
GAUGAAGAACGUAGCGAAAUGCGAUACUUGGUGUGAAUUGCAGAAUCCCGUGAACCAUCGAGUCUUUGAACGCAAGUUGCGCCCGAAGCCAUUAGGCCGAGGGCACGCCUGCCUGGGCGUCACACGUCGUUGCCCCCCCAUCUACUCCUUCGGGAUUGCGGGGGGCGGAUGAUGGCCUCCCGUGCGCCUCGUCGCGCGGUUGGCAUAAAUGCCAAGUCCUCGGCGACGCACGCCACGACAAUCGGUGGUUGCGAAACCUCGGUUGCCCGUCGUGUGCGGUCGUCGCGCAUCGAGGGCUCGAAAAAAUUGUCGGGCUCCGGCUCGGCUUUCAACGCGACCCCAGGUCAGGCGGGGUUACCCGCUGAGUUUAAGCAUAUCAAUAAGCGGAGGA